UUAUUUUUCUGAAUAUUCUUAUUCGUUUCUCUCUCCAAAACCAAACUCGUUUUCUUUUUUGUCUCUUCGUCUUCUUUCUUCUUUAAUUCUUCUGAUAUGUUCUCUUCAUCUUCGUGUUUGCAUCUUUAGAUUUGUUUCCUGUAACAUUUUUUUUUUUUUUUUGCACGUCGUGGUAGAUGUCACCGAACGAAGGCCAUCACCUCCCAAUCUCCUCCACUACGCCUUAGAUGCUGCGGAUUUGGACCCACUGCAACUCAACACUCAUUUCUCCAACAAAAACCAAACCCAUAGAGAGAGGGAGAAUGCGAGGCUUCCGAAUGUGUUCCUAGGGUUCGAUGAAAACCACCUCUCCACGGUCAACGGCAGCUAGCUCGACAAAAACUCUACUGAUCAGAUGCUUAGAGAUUAGCACAAGCAAGCGAAAGACGUUUUGAUCUCUCUUGGAGGAACAUUUUUUGCUUUAAACCCUCUCGAGAAUGUCACAGGGAAGUCACUUGUAGGGGUAGAUGGGUCUAGCUUUAUUUACUUCAUUCAAAAUGGGUUGUGUGGUUAUUGGGACAGAUUGACCGACGAGUUUAUGAUAAUAUUUGUAUCUUGGGCAUUGAUCCAGGCCUAGAAUCAUUUAGCGACCACUUUGGAUAUAGAAUGAGGAGAUAUGUAGAUCAGAAGGCACUUCUCAAGAAAGAUGAAGGAGGUCUUGAGGAAUUUUCAUGAGGUUAUUAGCUUUUAGGAGAUGUGAAAAUUCCUUCAUUUCCACUUUAUUUUUCCAUUUGUGCAUGGAGAGUUGUUAAGAAGUACUAAAAAAUCUAUAUUUAACAUUACAGGUGCCUAUAAUAAAUAAAUUACUCUACUUACAAGUGCUUAAAAUAAAUAAUUUUGCUCCAAGAUGGAUUGGUAUGUAUUUUUUUAUAUACAAUCAAAAGCAUCAUGUUGAGUGCAUAAGUUCUUUUACUUGCUUCCAUUUUCGUUUAAUUGGUUAUCCAUUGGCCUCUAUUAGGUUCAUAUCCUUUCUAGGUUAAGCAACUUAGCAAAUUCUUUUACCUGCUUAGUAGUUUCUUCUUCAAUAUAAAACCUCAUUUUUUGCUUCAUUCAUUCUAUAGGUUAUCUGAAGUUUGGAUUUAACAAAAAAAAAAGGUUGAAUUGUGUACUGUGAGUGGGCUUCUGCUGUUCAGUGGGUUUGUAAAGUUUCAAGUAUAAAGUGAUUAUCUUUGCUGGCUAUUGUACAGAUCAAUUGUUUCUUAGAAGUUCGAUUUUCUAUAAUGCAGAGAAGCACAACUCAUUGUUUGCUUCAUUCAUUCUGUAGGUUAUCUUAAGUUUGAAUUUAAUAGAGAAGAAGGUGGAAUUGUGUACCGUGAGUGGGCUCCUGUUGUUUAGGAAGCGCAACUCGUUGGGGACUUUAAUGGAUGGAAUGGUGCCAACCACAAAAUGGAAAAGAAUCAAUUUGGUGUUUGGAGUUUAAGACUUCUUGAUUCUGGUGGAAACCCAGCAAUUCCCCACAAUCAAGAGUCAAGUUCCGAUUCCAGCAUGGUGAUGGAGUUUGGGUUGAUCGCAUCUCUGCUUGGAUUAAAUAUGCCACUAUUGAUCCUACAAGAUUUGGAGCACCAUAUGAUGGUGUGUAUUGGGAUCCACCUCCUUCAGUAAGCUUUAUGUACCGACAUGCAGCCAAAAACAAUGUUGCUGCAAUGUUGCCAUUUGCAGCUCAAGUGAUAAGUAGACUUAUUUCCAAGAGGCAAAUGAACUAAAAUGUAAAGCUAUCAUCAAGGAAAAUUGUUUGACCUAUGUUGUUCUAAAUCCUGAUGGCCGGCAGCAGCAAACUGUAGAGCUUUGAGGGCUCGAAAUGGUCUCCCACUACACUCAGAUCCAUGCCUAGCAUCGUUUCUACAUCAAAGUUCCAAAGUGAGGGUCACAUCAUCAGCAACGUAAAUGAGUAGCAUGGGAUUUAGCAUGCAAGAUGGGUUUUUUUUUAUGUUUAUUCAUACACUUGUUUUCGGUAGCCUCUUUUAAAAAAUAAAAUAAAAAUUUUGUUUAUAUUAUUUCAGAUUUUCUUUUAUCUAUGAUCAUUUCACUAUCUAAGUAAAAGGAUGCCACACAUGCUUCCUUCAACAUCAAUGUCAUUCUUUCCUUCUCUCUUUUGUUUUAACCCC